rnacentral:pre_miRNA from 1 species
AUUAUUUGGGAAUCUUGUGAAAAUGUAGAUUCUGAUUCAGCAAGUCUCAUGUGGGGCCUGACAUUCUGCAUUUAUAACAAGCUCCCAGGUGAUGCCAA